rnacentral:rRNA from 1 species
AGUGAACGCUGGCGGUAGGCCUAACACAUGCAAGUCGAACGGCAGCACAGUAAGAGCUUGCUCUUACGGGUGGCGAGUGGCGGACGGGUGAGGAAUACAUCGGAAUCUACUUUUUCGUGGGGGAUAACGUAGGGAAACUUACGCUAAUACCGCAUACGACCUACGGGUGAAAGCAGGGGAUCUUCGGACCUUGCGCGAUUGAAUGAGCCGAUGUCGGAUUAGCUAGUUGGCGGGGUAAAGGCCCACCAAGGCGACGAUCCGUAGCUGGUCUGAGAGGAUGACCGGCGCCGGGGAGAGGGGAAGGUCAGCCACACUAGGACGGGGACAGGGGGGGGGAAACGGUGGAAGGGGGGCGGGAGCCUGUUCCCGCAAUCCGGGGGGGGCGAAGGGGGCGUGGGGGUGGGAAAGUCUUUUGGGGGGGAAAAAAGAGCUGAAGUUCAAGACCCCGGUUUCAUGACGGUACCAAAGGAAUAAGCCCCGGCUAACUCGGUG